rnacentral:rRNA from 1 species
GACGAACGCUGGCGGCGUGCUUAACACAUGCAAGUCGAACGGAAAGGCCCUGCUUUUGUGGGGUGCUCGAGUGGCGAACGGGUGAGUAACACGUGAGUAACCUGCCCUUGACUUUGGGAUAACUUCAGGAAACUGGGGCUAAUACCGGAUAGGAGCUCCUGCUGCAUGGUGGGGGUUGGAAAGUUUCGGCGGUUGGGGAUGGACUCGCGGCUUAUCAGCUUGUUGGUGGGGUAGUGGCUUACCAAGGCUUUGACGGGUAGCCGGCCUGAGAGGGUGACCGGCCAAACUGGGACUGAGAUACGGCACAGACUCGUACGGGAGGCAGAAGUGGGGAAUAGUGUACAAUGGGCGGAAGGCUGAUGCAGCAACGCCGCGUGCGGGAUGAGGGCCUUCGGGUUGUAAACCGCUUUCGCCUGUGACGAAGCGUGAGUGACGGUAAUGGGUAAAGAAGCACCGGCUAACUACGUG